rnacentral:rRNA from 1 species
UACGUAGUGUGCGAGCGUUAAUCGGAAUUACUGGGCGUAAAGCGUGCGCAGGCGGAUUGUUAAGCAAGAUGUGAAAUCCCCGGGCUCAACCUGGGAAUGGCGAUGGAUACUGGCGCGCUAGAGUGAGGUAGAGGAGAGUGGAAUUCCCGGUGUAGCAGUGAAAUGCGUAGAGAUCGGGAGGAACAUCAGUUGCGAAGGCGGCUCUCUGGACCAUCACUGACACUGAGGCACGAAAGCGUGGGGAGCAAACAGG